AUUGAACGCUGGCGGCAGGCCUAACACAUGCAAGUCGAGCGGAGCGGCGGACGGGAGAGUAAUGCCUAGGAAUCUGCCUGGUGGUGGUGGAUAACGUCCGGAAACGGGCGCUAAUACCGCAUACUAUCAGAUAAGCCUAGGUCGGAUUAGCUAGUAGGUGGGGUAAAGGCUCACCUAGGCGACGAUCCCUAUCUGGUCUGAGAGGAUGACCAGCCAAACUGGAACUGAGACACGGUCCAGACGCCUACGGGAGGCAGCAGUGGGGAAUAUUGCACAAUGGGCGCAAGCCUGAUGCAGCCAUGCCGCGGGGAUGAAGAAGGCCUUCGGGUUGUAAAGUACUUUCAGCGGGGAGGCGUUACCCGCAGAAGAAGCACCGGCUAACUCCGUGCCAGCAGCCGCGGUAAUUC
rnacentral:rRNA from 1 species